rnacentral:rRNA from 1 species
AAUGAACGCUGGCGGCAUGCCUUACACAUGCAAGUCGAACGGCAGCAUGACCUAGCUUGCUAGGUUGAUGGCGAGUGGCGAACGGGUGAGUAAUGCAUCGGAACGUGCCUUUUAGUGGGGGAUAACGUAGCGAAAGUUACGCUAAUACCGCAUAUUCUCUGAGGAGGAAAGCAGGGGACCUUCGGGCCUUGCGCUAGAAGAGCGGCCGAUGUCGGAUUAGUUAGUUGGUGAGGUAAAGGCUCACCAAGGCAACGAUCCGUAGCGGGUCUGAGAGGAUGAUCCGCCACACUGGGACUGAGACACGGCCCAGACUCCUACGGGAGGCAGCAGUGGGGAAUUUUGGACAAUGGGCGCAAGCCUGAUCCAGCCAUGCCGCGUGAGUGAAGAAGGCCUUCGGGUUGUAAAGCUCUUUCGGCUGGGAAGAAAUCGCACCCUCUAAUACAGGGUGUGGAUGACGGUACCAGCAGAAGAAGCACCGGCUAACUACGUG